rnacentral:tmRNA from 1 species
GGGGGCGAUCAGGUCUCGACGUGGUCGAUUCUCCGGCGGAGCUGCAAGCCGAGGUCCCCGGUCGGCCUCGUAAAACAACCGGGACAAACAAGCAAGUGCGGAUGACAAUCGCGCACUCGCUCUCGCUGCCUAACCCGUAGCGAAGCGCGUCGCUCCGAGCUCGGCCCGUGGCUCGGUCGAGCGGCGUCAACGAACGGGCUCGGCGCCAACGGAACGUCAUCGCCCGCGGCGCGACAGCCAAGGAUGACUAGCCCGGCGGUUGGUCGGCUGUCCACCGGCCGGCGGGCAAACGCGAAGGGCAGCCUAAGCUUGUAGACGCUCGGUCGGUGCGGCCGCGGACGCGGGUUCGAUUCCCGCCGCCUCCAUAU